AAGGAAUGAACAGAUGGACUUCCAAUGAAACGACAAGAUUUCUUCAGAGACUUACUAAAGCUCAUUUUGAAAAGAAUCUUGUAGUACAAGGGGAUGGCUCCUGGACAAAACGAAAGAAAGGCUUGCAGUAUGUGUCAUUUGGGAUAUAGUAGCCAGGUAUUCGCUGCACCCCAAACUGAGCAAGUUUAGGUGGGAAAGCCUUACUUGCAAAAGUUUGCCUGAGAGAUGCACAUGCUCGAAAUGACAGGAUAAUAGUAAUCCUUCCAAGGAUUUUGUCAGCAUCACUGUCCUCACCAAACAGUGUUUUCUCAGGGGGAAUUUUUGUUCUGUUCUCUGUAUCAAAAAUAAACUGGGUAGUGUUUGCUGAGUCCUGAAAAAAAAAAUAAAAUCACUUUACAAAGCAA